GAUGAACGCUGGCGGCGUGCCUAAUACAUGCAAGUCGAGCGAACAGACGAGGAGCUUGCUCCUCUGACGUUAGCGGCGGACGGGUGAGUAACACGUGGAUGACCUACCUAUAAGACUGGGAUAACUUCGGGAAACCGGAGCUAAUACCGGAUAAUAUAUUGAACCGCAUGGUUCAAUAGUGAAAGACGGUUUUGCUGUCACUUAUAGAUGGAUCCGCGCCGCAUUAGCUAGUUGGUAAGGUAACGGCUUACCAAGACAACGAUGCGUAGCCGACCUGAGAGGGUGAUCGGCCACACUGGAACUGAGACACGGUCCAGACUCCUACGGGAGGCAGCAGUAGGGAAUCUUCCGCAAUGGGCGAAAGCCUGACGGAGCAACGCCGCGUGAGUGAUGAAGGUCUUCGGAUCGUAAAACUCUGUUAUUAGGGAAGAACAAAUGUGUAAGUAACUAUGCACGUCUUGACGGUACCUAAUCAGAAAGCCACGGCUAACUACGUG
rnacentral:rRNA from 1 species